GUCAGCCCAGAAACAUCUAGUGAUGAGUCAAACUGGAUUCCACCAUUUCACAGCUAUGAAGAGUUAAUUCGAUUGACACUGCAGUCAUUAGAUGGCUGUAUAUUAAUACUCAGCGCAGACGGGGUGAUAGUUUAUGUGAGUCAAAGAGUCAAUUCUCUUCUUGGCCAUUUACCAAAGGAGAUCAUGGGUAAAGCUUUAUUGAGCCUUCUGCCUGAUGGAGAGAAAAGGAGAAUUUACAGAAAGAUUGUUUUCAG